rnacentral:rRNA from 1 species
GUCGUACAGGUUUCCGUAGGUGAACCUGCGGAAGGAUCAUUAUUAAACGUUACUUCGGUAACUUAAUAUCCUUAACACCUGUGCAUCUUGUCGCUCCGGCGAUAUUAUACAAACAUCAGUGUAAAGAAUGUAUUAUAUUAUAACAAAUACAACUUUCAACAACGGAUCUCUUGGCUCUCGCAUCGAUGAAGAACGCAGCGAAAUGCGAUAAGUAAUGUGAAUUGCAGAAUACAGUGAAUCAUCGAAUCUUUGAACGCACAUUGCGCCUUUUGGUAUUCCGAAAGGCAUGCCUGUUUGAGUGUCAUAAAAACUCUCAUACCUAGUUUUCUAUGUAUGAGCUUUGGACGCUGCCAUCCGUGGCUCGUCUUAAAUGACUAAGUGGAAUGCGUAAUAAGUUUUCGCUCCCUCCACUCUAACAACCUUUAUGUUAGACCUCAAAUCAGGUAGGACUACCCGCUGAACUUAAGCAUAUCA